rnacentral:rRNA from 1 species
UACGGAGGGUGCAAGCGUUAAUCGGAAUUACUGGGCGUAAAGCGUGCGUAGGCGGUUCGUUAAGUCUGUUGUGAAAGCCCCGGGCUCAACCUGGGAAUGGCAAUGGAUACUGGCGAGCUAGAGUGUGUCAGAGGUCGGUGGAAUUCCCGGUGUAGUGGUGAAAUGCGUAGAGAUCGGGAGGAACACCUGUGGCGAAGGCGGCCGACUGGGCCGACCCUGGACGCUGGAGGC